UUAUUUAACUACCAUUCUAGAUUUCCAGUUUAUCAAGUUUUGGUAUAGAACUUGGUUUCUUUGUUGAAGAAUAUGCUGGAAGCAAAGGAAGAUUUCCUCCCACUAAAAGGAGGGAAAAGAAAUCACUGUACAUCGCCACUAUUGAGAAAGGGCACAGCCUGGUGAAUGCCUUGAUUGAAACCGGAAGGAUCAGCACUCUGGGUCUGGUAGUCGUCGAUGAGUUGCACAUGAUUGGUGAAGGGAGCCGUGGUGCCAUACUGGAGAUGACCCUAGCAAAAGUCCUUUACACUAGCA